rnacentral:rRNA from 1 species
GACGAACGCUGGCGGCGUGCUUAACACAUGCAAGUCGAACGGAAAGGCCCUGCUUUUGUGGGGUGCUCGAGUGGCGAACGGGUGAGUAACACGUGAGUAACCUGCCCUUGACUUUGGGAUAACUUCAGGAAACUGGGGCUAAUACCGGAUAGGAGCUCCUGCUGCAUGGUGGGGGUUGGAAAGUUUCGGCGGUUGGGGAUGGACUCGCGGCUUAUCAGCUUGUUGGUGGGGUAGUGGCUUACCAAGGCUUUGACGGGUAGCCGGCCUGAGAGGGUGACCGGCCACAGUGGGACUGAGAUACGGGCCAGAAUCCUACGGGGGGCAGCAGUGGGGAAUAUUGCACAAUGGGCGGAAGCCUGAGGCAGCAACGCCGCGUGCGGGAUGACGGCCUGUGGGUUGUAAACCGCUUUCGCCGGUGAAGAAGCGUGAGUGACGGUAAUGGGUAAAGAAGAACCGGCUAACUACGGG